GGCGUUGAAAUCAUUUUACAACUUAGCGCGUUCGCAACGCGGGGGUCGAGGGUUCAAAUCCCUUCAUCUCCACCA
rnacentral:tRNA from 1 species